rnacentral:rRNA from 1 species
AGGCCUAACACAUGCAAGUCGAGGGGUAACAGAUUCUGCUUUCGGGCGGGACGCUGACGACCGGCGCACGGGUGCGUAACGCGUAUGCAACCUGCCUUAUACUGGGGGAUAGCCCGAAGAAAUUCGGAUUAAUACCCCAUAAUGUAGUUGAGUCACCUGGCUUAACUAUUAAAACUCCGGUGGUAUAAGAUGGGCAUGCGUGACAUUAGAUAGUUGGUGAGGUAACGGCUCACCAAGUCGACGAUGUCUAGGGGUUCUGAGAGGAAGGUCCCCCACACUGGUACUGAGACACGGACCAGACUCCUACGGGAGGCAGCAGUGGGGAAUAUUGGUCAAUUGACGCAAGUCUGAACCAGCCAUGUCGCGUGAAGGACGACUGCCCUAUGGGUUGUAAACUUCUUUUAUAUGGGAAGAAUAGCAGAUACGUGUAUUUGUUUGCCGGUACCAUAUGAAUAAGCAUCGGCUAACUCCGUGCCAGCAGCCGCGGUAAUACGGAGGAUGCAAGCGUUAUCCGGAUUCAUUGGGUUUAAAGGGUGCGUAGGCGGACUAUUAAGUCAGAGGUGAAAGUUUGCGGCUCA